GACGAACCGUGCGAACGUUGUUCGGAAUCACUGGGCUUAAAGGGCGCGUAGGCGGCUCGGCCAGUCCGGGGUGAAAGCCCCCAGCUCAACUGGGGAAGUGCCUUGGAUACUGCCGGGCUCGAGCGAGAUAGGGGUCGUGGGAACUUCCGGUGGAGCGGUGAAAUGCGUUGAUAUCGGAAGGAACGCCGGUGGCGAAAGCGCACGACUGGAUCUCUUCUGACGCUGAGGCGCGAAAGCCAGGGGAGCAAACGGG
rnacentral:rRNA from 1 species